GAUGAACGCUAGCGGGAGGCUUAACACAUGCAAGUCGAGCGGCAGCACGGUUUUCGGACUGGUGGCGAGCGGCGGACGGGUGCGUAACGCGUAUGCAACCUGCCUUAUGCAGGGGGAUAGCCCAUGGAAACGUGGAUUAAUACCCCAUAACAUCAUUGGAUCGCAUGGUUUGAUGAUCAAAAUUUUUGUGGCAUAAGAUGGGCAUGCGUCUGAUUAGUUAGUUGGUGAGGUAACGGCUCACCAAGGCGACGAUCAGUAGGGGUUCUGAGAGGAUUAUCCCCCACACUGGUACUGAGACACGGACCAGACUCCUACGGGUGGCUG
rnacentral:rRNA from 1 species